rnacentral:rRNA from 1 species
AAGAAUAAGAAGUUUUAAUAAGUUUACCUUUUGUAUCAGGGGAGUUUAAAAAUUUAAUUAUGGUUAGACCGAAUUAAGCAGAGCUUUUAAGUUGAAGUUUAGUAGAAUUUAAAUCUUUAAUAAAUUAUGUGGUGAAAAUUGUACGGUGCUUGUGUUAGCUGUUUGUUUUUAUCACAAAAGGUAAGCUUUUGUGUAAUUAAUUAAAAAUGAGAAUUAAAAAAUUAGGCUUUAUAUUAGCUAUAUUGUUAAAUUGUUUAAAAUAAUUUUAUGCUGAAGUGUUUAAAAUUUAAAAUUAAUAGACUAGUUUUAUUAUUUAAAGUAAAAUUAAAUAAUGAAUUUAUUGAAUAUAGGUUGGAGUAAAAAAAAGACUAAUAAAAAGUUAGAAUGUUUAGCAAAAACAUUUUCUUUUGGUUAAAAAAAGGUAAGACCUGCCCGGUGAAAUAUUUUAACGGCUGCGGUAUUUUGACUGUGCUAAGGUAGCAUAAUCAUUUGUUUCUUAAUUGGUAACUUGAAUGAAAGGUUAAACUAGCUUUUUUAGUUUGUAUUACUUAGUAAUAAAUUAAAGUCAAGGUAAGAAUUCUUUGAUAAACUAGGGGACGAUAAGACCCUAAAAGCUUGAUAAGCGUUAUAUUUAUUUGUUUUGAAAAUAAACUUUUUUUACUGGGGCGGUAAAGAUAUAUAAACUAUUAGAUUGAUGUAGGAUCCUUAAAAUAAAGAAAAAACAGAAAAGUUACUUUAGGGAUAACAGUGCAAUAUUUUUGGAGAGAUCUUAUCGAUAAAUAUGUUUGCAACCUCGAUGUUGAAUUAAAAUGUCUACAUAAAGCAGAAGGUAUGUUAGAAGGUUUGUUCAACCUUUAAAU